AAUUGCAGUUGAUACUGUCAGUCUUGAGUACAGUAGAGGUGGGCGGAAUUCGUGGUGUAGCGGUGAAAUGCUUAGAUAUCACGAAGAACUCCGAUUGCGAAGGCAGCUCACUGGACUGCAACUGACACUGAUGCUCGAAAGUGUGGGUAUCAAACAGGAUUAGAUACCCUGGUAGUCCACACAGUAAACGAUGAAUACUCGCUGUUUGCGAUAUACAGUAAGCGGCCAAGCGAAAGCAUUAAGUAUUCCACCUGGGGAGUACGCCGGCAACGGUGAAACUCAAAGGAAUUGACGGGGGCCCGCACAAGCGGAGGAACAUGUGGUUUAAUUCGAUGAUACGCGGGGAACCUUACCCGGGCUUAAAUUGCAGUGGAAUGAUGUGGAAACAUGUCAGUGAGCAAUCACCGCUGUGAAGGUGCUGCAUGGUUGUCGUCAGCUCGUGCCGUGAGGUGUCGGCUUAAGUGCCAUAACGAGCGCAACCCUUAUCUUCAGUUACUAACAGGUCAUGCUGAGGACUCUGGAGAGACUGCCGUCGUAAGAUGUGAGGAAGGUGGGGAUGACGUCAAAUCAGCACGGCCCUUACGUCCGGGGCUACACACGUGUUACAAUGGGGGGUACAGAAGGCAGCUAGCGGGUGACCGUAUGCUAAUCCCAAAAGCCUCUCUCAGUUCGGAUCGAAGUCUGCAACCCGACUUCGUGAAGCUGGAUUCGCUAGUAAUCGCGCAUCAGCCACGGCGCGGUGAAUACGUUCCCGGGCCUUGUACACACCGCCCGUCAAGCCAUGGGAGCCGGGGGUACCUGAAGUACGUAACCGCAAGGAUCGUCCUAGGGUAAAACUGGUGACUGGGGCUAAGUCGUAACAAAGGUAGCCGUAAGCC
rnacentral:rRNA from 1 species